AGACCACCAGCUAAGGUCCCAAAAUAUAUGUUAAGUGGAAAAGGAUGUGGCGUUGCCCAGACAACUAGGAUGUUGGCUUAGAAGCAGCCAUCAUUUAAAGAGUGCGUAAUAGCUCACUAGUCGAGUGACACUGCGCCGAAAAUGUACCGGGGCUAAACAUAUUACCGAAGCUGUGGAUUGUCCUUUGGACAAUGGUAGGAGAGCGUUCUAAGGGCGUUGAAGCAUGAUCGUAAGGACAUGUGGAGCGCUUAGAAGUGAGAAUGCCGGUGUGAGUAGCGAAAGACGGGUGAGAAUCCCGUCCACCGAUUGACUAAGGUUUCCAGAGGAAGGCUCGUCCGCUCUGGGUUAGUCGGGUCCUAAGCUGAGGCCGACAGGCGUAGGCGAUGGAUAACAGGUUGAUAUUCCUGUACCACCUAUAAUCGUUUUAAUCGAUGGGGGGACGCAGUAGGAUAGGCGAAGCGUGCGAUUGGAUUGCACGUCUAAGCAGUAAGGCUGAGUAUUAGGCAAAUCCGGUACUCGUUAAGGCUGAGCUGUGAUGGGGAGAAGACAUUGUGUCUUCGAGUCGUUGAUUUCACACUGCCGAGAAAAGCCUCUAGAUAGAAAAUAGGUGCCCGUACCGCAAACCGACACAGGUAGUCAAGAUGAGAAUUCUAAGGUGAGCGAGCGAACUCUCGUUAAGGAACUCGGCAAAAUGACCCCGUAACUUCGGGAGAAGGGGUGCUCUUUAGGGUUAACGCCCAGAAGAGCCGCAGUGAAUAGGCCCAAGCGACUGUUUAUCAAAAACACAGGUCUCUGCUAAACCGUAAGGUGAUGUAUAGGGGCUGACGCCUGCCCGGUGCUGGAAGGUUAAGAGGAGUGGUUAGCUUCUGCGAAGCUACGAAUCGAAGCCCCAGUAAACGGCGGCCGUAACUAUAACGGUCCUAAGGUAGCGAAAUUCCUUGUCGGGUAAGUUCCGACCCGCACGAAAGGCGUAACGAUUUGGGCACUGUCUCAACGAGAGACUCGGUGAAAUCAUAGUACCUGUGAAGAUGCAGGUUACCCGCGACAGGACGGAAAGACCCCGUGGAGCUUUACUGUAGCCUGAUAUUGAAAUUCGGCACAGCUUGUACAGGAUAGGUAGGAGCCUUUGAAACGUGAGCGCUAGCUUACGUGGAGGCGCUGGUGGGAUACUACCCUAGCUGUGUUGGCUUUCUAACCCGCACCACUUAUCGUGGUGGGAGACAGUGUCAGGCGGGCAGUUUGACUGGGGCGGUCGCCUCCUAAAAGGUAACGGAGGCGCUCAAAGGUUCCCUCAGAAUGGUUGGAAAUCAUUCAUAGAGUGUAAAGGCAUAAGGGAGCUUGACUGCGAGACCUACAAGUCGAGCAGGGUCGAAAGACGGACUUAGUGAUC
rnacentral:rRNA from 1 species